UACAGAGGGGGCAAGCGUUGUUCGGAAUUACUGGGCGUAAAGGGCGCGUAGGCGGCCUGCUAAGUCGAACGUGAAAUCCCUGGGCUCAACCCAGGAACUGCGUCCGAUACUGGUUGGCUUGAAUCCGGGAGAGGGAUGCGGAAUUCCAGGUGUAGCGGUGAAAUGCGUAGAUAUGGGGAGGAACACCGGUGGCGAAGGCGGCCACCUGGACGGUAACUGACGCUGAGACGCGAAAGCGUGGGGAGCAAACAGG
rnacentral:rRNA from 1 species